rnacentral:rRNA from 1 species
ACGCACGCUGGCGGCGUGCUUAACACCUGCAAGUCGAACGGAAAGGCCCUGCUUUUGUGGGGUACUCGAGUGGCGAACGGGUGAGUAACACGUGAGUAACCUGCCCUUGACUUUGGGAUAACUUCAGGAAACUGGGGCUAAUACCGGAUAGGAGCUCCUGCUGCAUGGUGGGGGUUGGAAAGUUUCGGCGGUUGGGGAUGGACUCGCGGCUUAUCAGCUUGUUGGUGGGGUAGUGGCUUACCAAGGCUUUGACGGGUAGCCGGCCUGAGAGGGUGACCGGCCACAUUGGGACUGAGAUACGGCCCAGACUCCUACGGGAGGCAGCAGUGGGGAAUAUUGCACAAUGGGCGGAAGCCUGAUGCAGCAACGCCGCGUGCGGGAUGACGGCCUUCGGGUUGUAAACCGCUUUCGCCUGUGACGAAGCGUGAGUGACGGUAAUGGGUAAAGAAGCACCGGCUAACUACGUG